CAGCCGCUUCAGAACUGGCGCGGGCAAGGGGAAUCCGACUGUUUAAUU
rnacentral:rRNA from 14 species